CUCUUCGGAGGGCUGUAUUUAUUAGAUAACAGACCAAUAUUCCUCGUGUCUAUUGUGGUGAAUCAUAGUAACUUUUCGGAUCGCAUGGGCUUGUCCCGCGACAAACCAUUCAAGUUUCUGCCCCAUCAGCUUUCGAUGGUAGUGUAUUGGACUACCAUGGCUUUUACGGGUAACGGGGGAUUAGGGUUCGAUUCCGGAGAGGGAGCCUGAGAAACGGCUACCACAUCUAAGGAAGGCAGCAGGCGCGUAAAUUACCCAAUCCUAAUUCAGGGAGGUAGUG
rnacentral:rRNA from 1 species